GACGAACGCUGGCGGCGUGCCUAAUACAUGCAAGUUGAGCGCUGAAGGUUGGUACUUGUACCAACUGGAUGAGCAGCGAACGGGUGAGUAACGCGUGGGGAAUCUGCCUUUGAGCGGGGGACAACAUUUGGAAACGAAUGCUAAUACCGCAUAAAAACUUUAAACACAAGUUUUAAGUUUGAAAGAUGCAAUUGCAUCACUCAAAGAUGAUCCCGCGUUGUAUUAGCUAGUUGGUGAGGUAAAGGCUCACCAAGGCGAUGAUACAUAGCCGACCUGAGAGGUGGUCGGGCACAAUUGGAACUGGACACGGCCCAAACCCCUUAGGGAGGGAGGAGUAGGGAAUCUUCGGCAAUGGACGAAAGUCUGACCGGGGAACGCCGAGGGGAGGAAGAAGGGUUUUGGAUCGUAAAACUCUGUUGGUAGAGGAGAACGGUGGGGGGGGUGGAAAGCUCAACAAGGGGCGGUAACUAACCAGAAAGGGAAGGCUAACUACGGG
rnacentral:rRNA from 1 species